rnacentral:rRNA from 1 species
CCUACGGGAGGCAGCAGUGGGGGAUAUUGCACAAUGGGGGGAACCCUGAUGCAGCGACGCCGCGUGGGUGAAGAAGCGCCUCGGCGCGUAAAGCCCUGUCAGCAGGGAAGAAAAUGACGGUACCUGUAGACGACGCCCCGGCUAACUACGUGCCAGCAGCCGCGGUAAUACGUAGGGGGCCAGCGUUAUCCGGAUUUACUGGGUGUAAUGGGGGCGUAGACGGCGAUGCAAGCCAGGAGUGAAAGGCCGGGGCCCAACACCGGGACUGCUAUUGGAACUGCGUGGCUGGAGUGCAGGAGGGGCAGGCGGAAUGCCUGGUGUAGCGGUGAAAUGCGUAGAUAUCAGGAGGAACACCGGUGGCGAAGGCGGCCUGCUGGACUGCAACUGACGUUGAGGCACGAAAGCGUGGGGAGCAAACAGGAUUAGAUACCCCGGUAGUC